ACCGGAAGUCUCAUUGGUUCGCUGUGAUCUCGAACUGGCGGCGGGAUAAUUGUAUUGUUGUGCUAACACACGAGCUUAUUUCUCAUCUUUUAAGCGGCAGAACUGCAGACCGAGGUGACGUCUUCAAAUGUCGUGUUUUUUGUACCUCGACACUGGUUGCUACCCAACAUAAAACAGGAAGUAGAAGAAGAAGAACAGUCAAUCAGUCAGAGAGGAGACCUGCUGGAUGGAGGAGAACCAGAACCUGGAGAACCACACCGACAACCCUGUUACAAUGGAAGAACCAGGUUCACACUCCAACAACAUAGCAGGUGUCAGUAAUGCACCUCAACACUGGUUGCUACUUGAAAUAAAACAGGAAGAAGAAGAAGAAGAAGAACAGUCCAUCAGUCAGAGAGGAGACCAGAAGACGGAGAACCACACCGACAACCCUGUUAAAAGAGAAGAACCAGGUUCACCCUCUGCUACCACCGAUAAACAGGGGACAGAAAACUCUGGUUCACACUCCAACAACACAGCAGGUGUCAGUAAUGCACCUCAACACUGGUUGCUACCCGACAUAAAACAGGAAAAAGAAGAAGAAGAAGAACAGUCCAUCAGUCAGAGAGGAGACCUGCUGGAUUUCACAGACCAGGACCACUACAAGAUCAAAAUAGAGGAGAACCAGAACCCGGAGAACCACACCAACAACCCUGUUAAAAGAGAAGAAGCAGGUUCACCCUCUGCUACCACCGAUAAACAGGGGAUCGAUAACUCUGGUUCACACUCCAACAACAUAAAACAGGAAAAAGAAGAAGAAGAGGAAUUGUUCAUCAGUCAGAGAGGAGACCAGGACCACUACGAGAUUGAAAUGGAGGAGAACCAGAACCCGGAGAACCACACCAACAACCCUGUUACAAUGGAAGAACCAGGUUCACCCUCUGCUACCACCGAUAAACAGGAGAAUGGUGCUGCUAUUGCUAAUGAGGCAAUUAAUGGCAACAUGAGUGAGGGGGUCACAGAGAGGCAUGGACGCAGACACAGCGAGUGGUUUGGGGAAGAACAUCUCGUGGAUUAUUUAUUGUCACACCCAUUCCACAGUUUGGAUUACGCAGUAAAGAUGAGGAUCAAGACUGCUGGACGACCAACUCCACAGAUAACCAUGAUCAAAAAUGCUAGACCAGGUCAACAGAAAGAUUCAAAACUGACUAAGGUCUGGUAUGAGAGAUAUUCUUGGCUAACGGGCAGUCCCACAACUAACCGCUUGUAUUGUUGGCCAUGCCUUCUGAUGGGGAACCCUAAAGCUCACUUCAACACUUGGUCUGCUCAAGGAUUCUGUGAUGUUAAGAAUUUAGAUAGGGCUACGAAAAGGCAUGACAAGUGUUUCGAGCACAUCAGUGCGAAUAGUAAGCUGAAGCUUUUUGGUCGGGUGCCUAACAAAGAGUUGGUUGACGAGGGGACGCGUUUGCAGAGAGCAAACCACAACGUUAAAGUGAGACGAAACAGAGAUGCCUUAAUCCGCCUAAUCGAUGCGACGGCUUAUCUUGGAAUGCAAGAGCAAUCUUUUAGAGGGCAUGACGAGAGGCAGGAGUCCGCUAACAAGGGCAACUACAGGGAGUUGGUGGACUUGAUAGCACGCUAUGACAACAUAUUAGCAGAGCAUAUUGAAAAUUCUGGUGUUUUCUCCGACCUGUCUAAAACGAUUCAGAAUGAUUUGAUAUCAGCAAUUGCAUCAACAAUUAAAAGUGAGAUCAAAGGAGAGGUGGAUGCAGCUCCCUUUUUUGCUUGGCAGAUUGACGAAACAACUGAUGUGAGCUGUCACUCUCAGUUGUCUGUUAUUGUCCGUUAUAUAGACGAUAAUGGCACAAUUCAGGAGCGCUUUUUGGGCUUUUUUGAUGUGUCCAGUGGACGGGAUGCCCAGUCCAUUUUUGAGUUAUUGCAGUCAGAGAUGUCUGGUUUUAACUUUGAGGAGAAGCUCAUUGCACAAACUUACGAUGGGGCUGCCAUUAUGGCAUCAGAUCUUAACAGUUUGCAAGCUAAGGUGCGAGCAGUUGCCCCCAGUGCAGUCUUUGUGCAUUGCUAUGCACAUCGCCUUAAUCUUGUUCUUAGCCAAGGAUUGAAAAGCAUCCCCAAGGCCAAGAUUUUCUUUGCUACUCUUGGUGGGUUCAGCUCUUAUUUUUGCAAAUCAACCAAAAGAGUAAUGAUGCUGGAAGAAUCUGGGUGUUCCAGAGUGCCAAGAAAUGAGCCCACACGUUGGAACUUCACCUCUCAUAUUGUCAACACAGUGGCUCUUAACAGAGACAGCCUGAUAGACACAUUCACUCGCAUCAUCAAUCAUCCCUCAAUGGAUGAUGAGUCUGUAAGAACAGCAGAUGGGCUGAAAACAAAGUUAGAGGACUUUGAAUUUAUGUUUUUGCUUUAUACAAGUGAGCAGAUUUUCUCUCAGACAGACGUCGUGUUUGAUGUGUUGCAGAAAAAAGCAAUGGAUGUUUCACUUUGUAAAAGGAGUGUUGAGAAGCUCAUGGACACUUUGGAGGAGCUGAAGUCAGAGGAGGCAUUUGAGAGGAUUUUCAGUAGAGCAGCAGAUGUUACAGAGGAUCCGGAGCUUGUGCACAGAAGGAAACGUAGACAAGGUAAUGAGGAUCCCAGAAAAGUUUAUAGGCGACUGUAUGACUCCAUCCAUACAAGUGUUAAAAGUCAGAUCGGUCAGCGGUAUCAAAACCUUGAAUGUUUGAGAUUCAUGGAGCUUCUAGAUUUUGCUAAAUUCCCAUCGUUCAGGACAGAAUUUCCCUUGGAUGCAUUCAGAAGUCUGACAGAUAAUUACAGCCAUUUCUUUGACCUGGUAAAACUGAAGACAGAGUUGCAGGUGUUUUACAGCGACAAGGAGAUCCAAGGUGGCAGCAAUAAGCUGUGCGAUUCAUUACAGUCAAUGAAAGCCAGUGGACUGAAUGAUGCGAUGCCUGAAUUGUACAGACUUAUGUCUCUCAUUGCCACAAUUGGGGUUACGUCUGCUGGGGUUGAGAGGAGUUUCUCUUGUCUGAAAAGACUGAAAAGCUACACAAGGAACACAAUGGGACAAGAACGACUGAAGAACUUGGCAAUCCUUGCAAUCGAGAGGAAGAUUCUAAAAUCUCUUAGAAAGAAUCCUCACUGGUACGAGAAUACCAUAGACAUCUUCGCUGCACAGACUUCUAGAGGAAUGGACUUCUCUUUCAAGUAAAUUUGUCACCCAGUCCCUUUAGCUGGUCCUGAUGACAACAGCCACUCUGCCCCUCUAUCUGCGUCUGACGACAACAGUCACUCUGCCCCUCUAUCUGGUCCUGAUCACAACAGCCACUCUACCCCUCUAUCUGGUCCUGACAACAACAGCCACUCUGCCCCUCUAUCUGCUCCUGAUGGCAACAGCCACUCUGCCUCUCUAUCUGGUCCUGAUGGCAACAGCCACUCUACCCCUCUAUCUGCCCCUGAUGACAACAGCCACUCUGCCCCUCUAUCUGCUCCUGACAACAACAGCCACUCUACCCCUCUAUCUGGUCCUGAUGACAACAGCCACUCUGCCCCUCUAUCUGGUCCUGAUGGCAACAGCCACUCUGCCCCUCUAUCUGGUCCUGAUGGCAACAGCCACUCUGCCCCUCUAUCUGGUCCUGAUGGCAACAGCCACUCUGCCCCUCUAUCUGCUCCUGACAACAACAGCCACUCUGCCCCUCUAUCUGCUCCUGAUGACAACAGCCACUCUGCCCCUCUAUCUGGUCCUGAUGACAACAGCCACUCUGCCCCUCUUUCACGGUCCUCAAGACAACAGCCACUCUACCCCUCUAUCUGCUCCUGUCAACAACAGCCACCAAGCCCCUCUUUCACGGUCCUGAUGACAACAGCCACUCUGCCCCUCUAUCUGCCCCUGAUGACAACAGCCACUCUGCCCCUCUAUCUGCCCCUGAUGACAACAGCCACUCUGCCCCUCUAUCUGCUCCUGUCAACAACAGCCACCGAGCCCCUCUUUCAUGGUCCUGAUGGCAACAGUCACUCUGCCCCUCUAUCUGGUCCUGAUGGCAACAGCCACUCUGCCCCUCUAUCUGGUCCUGAUGACAACAGCCGCUCUGCCUUGUGACCUUACAAGAUCCAAAGAAAAGGGUUUCCGCCAGUGUAUUACAAGCCCGGUGGCCCGUUGGGCCUAAGUUGACCCCCCGCUAGGCUUAAGCAUCAGGGAUUUUUUUUAAUGUAUUGAGCCACUAGCUCAGCUGCAGCACAGGUGACUGUCAAAGCUCCAGCAGACUCUCUAUGUCUUCAGCGUGGACACGAAGAGCCUGACAGCAGCCACUCAUGGCUAAUUAUUUUGCUUGCAUUUCUUCUUCGUUGUGAUCUACAAUUGCCGUCCAUCUGACGUCACCAGUUUGUUCAGCGCCUCGAUGAGGAUGUAGUGGCACUCUGUUAGUGAAACUUCAGGGCUCUACCUUAAUGCUGCCAUCAGUCUUUGCUGGGCCCCUGUCAAAAAGACGCUUGGCCCCAUCAAGAGAUCCAAAGAAGACAGCCAGCCUUUACUUCUCUCUUGGUCUUGGAGGACUGGAUGCAACAACAGGCCUCACAGGAGCGAUGAAGAUGAUCCCCAAACAUGUAAAGUGUGUGGCGAACCCUCCCACAUGUAGAAGAACUCAUGACACAAUUCCUUUUUGCUUUGUUUUUUAAUAAUUCCAGAUUUUCAGAGUUUUCCUUUUUUAAAUCAGAGGGUCUUGUGUUAAAUUCCCACUGUAAUGUACUGGGUGCCGCCCCUCAUUGGAUGGGGAUAAACUUUGGGUGCGUUACCUUAGUUGUUUAAUAAGUUUGCAUUACUAAUUGGAUUAUUACUACAUUUGAGUUCUUAUGUGGAUCACGUAUCUGUCGUAGUCGUUCGCAGUGGCUCAUUCUCAUAAUUCCCCGUGAUGGUUUUAACCUGACACCUACUGACCAUUUAAUAAAAUUGCACCCACUGUUUUAUUAUGGGUGUUUGCCAAUGAUGAUGUUGUGAUAAUUAUUUUGAUAUUUCCUUUGUAGCCUAAAAAGAGAGCUGAUAAUGGCCAGCUGUUUACUUAUAUGUAUAUUUUAAUUAUCUUAACAGAAACCACGCACUACUUAAAACAUGGCCUGGUCCACCUGUACUUUUGAUAAUGCAUGUUGGGAAUAAAAUAUUGGAAUUUGAAGUUAACUUCAUUUGUCUAAUUGGAAAUCAGGCCAGCUUGGAUUCAGCCAGUAACUGGUCAUCACCAGUCACCACACUUUCCCUCACAGGUGUUGAACACCAGCCUGCUUCUUAUUACAUCUGACACCCUUGAUGAAUACUGUUCUGUAGGUCUGUAUGGUUCAUCUGGAGACAAAAAUAUUGAAUAAAAUUAUGUUUUUAAGAAAU